CAAAUUCUUCCACCAAUGCUGGUAACCUGAUGUCAAGUUCAGCUCUGCAUUUAUCAUUUCCGGUCACUGAAGAUAUGACCAUCCACAAGGAGGAUAUUCUUGAAAGCCAGCCCUGUAAUGCACCUGCUACGGUACAUGGAGGAUCAAAUGGUAUUACUUCUCCAUCUAGACAUGGUGACGACAAGUUCACAGUGACGGAACUUCUAUCCGUUUCAGAGGCUGCUGGUAUUUCUUCACCUCUCUCGCCAAUUUCUGCUCCUCAAAGUUACCCACAUCCAGCUGAAAAGGAUGAUGCUAAUGAUACUCCAG
rnacentral:lncRNA from 1 species